GCGCACGUCCCUCGGCCCGGAGCAGGAGCGAGGCGUCCACCUCCGCUGUCCCGCGGUUGGACCCUGAGCACACGACGCUCAGGGAGGGAACCAGACACGGGAGGCCACGCGGGGUGUGAGUCCACGCAAAUGGAUUAACCAAGUGCGGUCCAUCCACACGCUGGAAUAUUACUCGGCUUUAAAAAGGAAAGACGUCCUGCUACCUGCCACCGGGUGGACAGAUCCAGAGGACACCAUGUACAGUGACAGAGGCCAGACACAGAAGGACAGCACAGAGCCUGAUGUGGGCCUCGAACUCACAAACUGCAA